CUGAACAACAAUAUCAUCCAGAACAUACCCAGUAUUCUUUGAUAUUGGAAGCUAAGCAGGGCUAGACCUGGUCAGCACUUGGAUGGGAGACCACCAGGAAAAAAAUAGGGAUCUCUUAAU
rnacentral:rRNA from 1 species